rnacentral:antisense_RNA from 1 species
CUUCACCGAGCCGAGCCACAGCGGCGUUUCGCGGUCCUGCCCGUAUGUGGCGAGCAGGGCCUGGGCCUC